GUUAAAAAGCUCGUAGUUGGAUUUCUGUCGAGGACGGCCGGUCCGCACUUUGUGCGUGUAUCUGGUUCGGUCUUGGCAUCCUCUUGGGGAACGUUUCUGUGCUUCGUUGCAUGGGGCGGGAUUCAAGACUUUUACUUUGAGGAAAUUAGAGUGUUCACGGCAAGCUAUCGCUUUGAAUACAUUAGCAUGGAAUAAUAAUAUAGGGCGUAAGUUCUAUUUUGUUGGUUUCUAGGACAUACGCAAUGAUUAAUAGGGACAAUUGGGGGCAUUCGUAUUAACGCGUCAGAGGUGGAAUUCUUAGAUUGCGUUACGACGAACUACUGCGAAAGCAUUUGCCAAGGAUGUUUUCAUUGAUCAAGAACGAAAGUAUGGGGAUCGAAGACGAUUAGAUACCGUCGUAGUCUAUACCAUAAACUAUGCCAAUUAGAGAUUGGAGGUCGUUCGUUUUAUGACUCCUUCAGCACCUUAUGAGAAAUCAAAAUUUUUGGGUUCCGGGGGGAGUAUGGUCGCAAGGCUGAAACUUAAAGGAAUUGACGGAAGGGCACCACCAGGAGUGGAGCCUGCGGCUUAAUUUGACUCAACACGGGAAAACUUACCAGGUCCAGACAUAGUAAGGAUUGACAGAUUGACAGCUCUUUCU
rnacentral:rRNA from 1 species